CUGGAAAGUAGACCAUGCCGUGCAAUAUUGCAAACUGGGUUCCCUAUAGUAUUUAAGUAUAUGUACUUAUGUAGGAUGAUGUUAGUUAGAUGAUGUACAUACUCACAGCCAGGGUCUUGAAAGCAAACCAUGCCGUGAAAUAUGUGAAACAUACGGUUUGUGUCAUGUAUAGCUAGCAGUGGCGUAGUUAGACCUUAAUUUUUGGUGGGCGAAGCGAACGCCGAAGGCGUGAGACCGUCUAGGGGGGUUUGGGGGCAUGAUCCCCCGGAAAAUGUUUGAAAUCUAGAGUCCCUGAAAUGCGAUUUCAAGCAUUUUGGGGGUGAAAUCUUGCAGAAUUUCGAAGAUUAUAAAGUACAUCGAAGACAUAAUUUUCCCAGACAUUUCUACUCGGAAUUAAAUUGGAAAAGUCACCUUGAAAAACAGGACGAGGGGUCAGUGUCACCUUAGUUCUCCUCUGUGAUGCUGGGGGGGGGGGAUGUGAUUUUGAUCAGAAGAGACACCACUUCCGCAUUCUAUGACAUUCAGUCCCUCCCGCCCCCUGUUCAACGUUGUGUCCCAUUUCUCGUCAGGUUUGAUGUGUUUUGGUUGAA